rnacentral:rRNA from 1 species
UACGUAGGGUGCGAGCGUUGUCCGGAAUUAUUGGGCGUAAAGAGCUCGUAGGCGGCUUGUCGCGUCGGAUGUGAAAGCCCGGGGCUUAACCCCCGGGUCUGCAUUCGAUACGGGCAGACUAGAGUGUGGUAGGGGAGAUCGGAAUUCCUGGUGUAGCGGUGAAAUGCGCAGAUAUCGGGAAGAACACCCGUGGCGAAGGCGGCUCUCUGGGACGGUACUGACGCUGAGACGCGAAAGCGUGGGGAGCGAACAGG